GACGAACGCUGGCGGCGUGCUUAACACAUGCCAGUCGAACGGAAAGGCCCUGCUUUUGUGGGGUGCUCGAGUGGCGAACGGGUGAGUAACACGUGAGUAACCUGCCCUUGACUUUGGGAUAACUUCAGGAAACUGGGGCUAAUACCGGAUAGGAGCUCCUGCUGCAUGGUGGGGGUUGGAAAGUUUCGGCGGUUGGGGAUGGACUCGCGGCUUAUCAGCUUGUUGGUGGGGUAGUGGCUUACCAAGGCUUUGACGGGUAGCCGGCCUGAGAGGGUGACCGGCCACAUUGGAACUGAGAUACGGCCCAGACUCCUACGGGAGGCAGCAGUGGGGAAUAUUGCACAAUGGGCGGAAGCCUGAUGCAGCAACGCCGCGUGCGGGAUGACGGCCUUCGGGUUGUAAACCGCUUUCGCCUGUGACGAAGCGUGAGUGACGGUAAUGGGUAAAGAAGCACCGGCUAACUACGUG
rnacentral:rRNA from 1 species